rnacentral:tRNA from 1 species
AAAAAAGCCGGAAUAGCUCAGUUGGUAGAGCAGAG